rnacentral:lncRNA from 1 species
AGGUUUAGGCACGUGUAUGAUCGCUCACAUCGUCCUCGUGCCGAGAACUUUUCUCAUAUAAAAAUACUAGUAAUAUAAGACAUUCACAUUUUCAAACAACAAACAACUUUUCAUCUAGAACUACGUAACCCUGAUUUCUCAUUUUGAGAAUACGUAGGAGCAAGGUCAAUCCUUGUCGGGCACAAAAAAAAAAUAAAAAAUACAUAUUUUGUUAGGGGAAAUUAAACGUUUUGCAAACCAC